rnacentral:rRNA from 1 species
GACGAACGCUGGCGGCGUGCCUAACACAUGCAAGUGGAGCGACGAACCAGGCUUCGGCCUGGGGCAAGGCCGCGAACGGGUGAGUAACACGUGGGUAACCUGCCCUGAUGAUUGGGACAACCCGAGGAAACUCGGGCUAAUACCGAAUGUGCCCUCCGGCCUCAAGGCCGCUGGGGAAAGGAGCUUCGGCCUCCGCAUCGGGAUGGGCCCGCGGCCCAUUAGCUUGUUGGUGAGGUAACGGCNCACCAAGGCGACGAUGGGUAGCUGGUCUGACGAGGACGAUCAGCCACACUGGGACUGAGACACGGCCCAGACUCCUACGGGAGGCAGCAGUGGGGAAUCUUGCGCAAUGCGCGAAAGCGUGACGCAGCAACGCCGCGUGGGGAAGAAGGCCU